UACGUAGGGGCCGAGCGUUGUCCGGAGUUACUGGGCGUAAAGCGCGCGCAGGCGGCUCGUCAAGCCUGACGUGAAAGCCCCCGGCUCAACCGGGGAGGGUCGUCGGGGACUGGCGGGCUUGAGGUCGGCAGGGGUUGGUGGAAUUCCCGGUGUAGUGGUGAAAUGCGUAGAAAUCGGGAGGAACACCCGUGGCGAAGGCGGCCAACUGGGCCGGACCUGACGCUGAGGCGCGAAGGCGUGGGGAGCGAACGGG
rnacentral:rRNA from 1 species